AGCUGGUGUGUGUUUCCAGCCACUAGGCAACCCCAGGUCUUCAUCUGAGCACCCAGGGCCAGAAGUCUCACCCUGUCCCCCGUACCAUCCCUUCCCAGCCAGCCACAGUUUCCUUCCUUCUGUUGCCCACACAGUGCUCUCAGCCCCAGAUGCCCUUCCUGACACUUCCUCCCAAGGAAACCCAAGUCCUCCGUCAGGGUCCACCCAAAUGUCCACACCCUCUGGUAGCCUGCCCAGCCCCAGAGGCUCCCCUGAGCUCCCUUCCCCCAUUAGAGCCUACAGAGGCAGUGCUGCCCAGCAGACAUCUCGGCUGGGAGUCAAACAGAGCAAGGCUAUUUUGGUCCCUCUCUCCACUCUAUGUGACCCUGAAAUGUGCCCUGGCCUUAGGAAACAUUCAGCUACAUCAGAGAACGUGAGUAUGCAUGUGGUUUGUAUAACACAGGCAAGACAUGGUUUUUAGAUACGUUCAGAAUAGAUAGUUACAGAGAACAGGUAUGUUACAUGUGGGAAGGAAGAGACACAAGGGCCAAGAGAUACUUAAUAUGCAUGAGGCUCCUGGGCACUAAAUGUUCAAUUCACAAUGUGCCUUUAUACAAGAGACACCUAAACAUGCAGAACCAUGGGGCCUUUGUUCACCACCAUUCCUGGUGCCCAUUCUGGUCCCAUGCGUCCUCUGCCCAAGAAACACGUAGAACCCAUGGCAGUGCGACAGCUGCUUCUUGGCAACGCCACCAUGAUCAGGCACACUUGUCCCAUGUCUGUCCCGUUGAGCCGGUGUGUGUCAUAAGCCCUUCAGCUGUGAGCACUCUUGCCCAGACCUCGGCUCUGGUCCUCGUGGUCACACCUGAGUGGGUGAGGUUGACUAGCAGAGAAAGAAGAGAACUGAUGAAUGUUGACAGCACAGGAAUCAGGUCAUACGGCCCUCCCAUCUCCUUCCCUCAGCUUCUUGCUGUGUUUUAUGAAUGGAUUUUAUAAACCUGUGAUUCGAGCAUCCUCAGUUGCUUCUCGAGCCUUUCCGCUCCAUGAACUCUGGGACAGCUUGCCUGGUAAUGCAACUGGAGGACAUCAUUGCAUCCAGAGAGCUUCCCACAUGACAGUCUGUGAGCAAGGGACUUCGCCUCCCUGGAUGGUGGUUUUCUUUUAUGUAAAAGAUGUGAUCGUAGUCUCUAUUUCUCAAGGGUGCUGUGAGAAACACACAGAAUAAGGCCACGUGAAAGUGUGUGGCAGGUAGCGGAUGCUCAGUAACGUGAAGCCUGCCCUUCCCGUAGCCUUUCUCUUCCUCCACUAGGUCUAGACUUCACAUUGUCCCAUGGUUCAAGAUCCUUGGUUCAUCCCAAGUCUUAUCAUCAUCCCAGAAGGUUGGAGGGAGCUCCUGGGGAAAUCCAGCUUCACGGUCCCACACUGAUCACUUCCCCUGGGCAUGGCCUGGUAAAUGCAGCUCAGAUCCGCUCCCCAGGCAAGUCAAGGAAGUUGCUGCCCAGAAACCAAGUGAGGACAUUUACAAGAACCGGCGGCGGCGGCGGCAGCAGCAGCAGCAGCAGCAGCAGCAGCAGCAGCAGCAGCAGCAACUGGAUUUGCUUUUUCACCAGAGGAUCCAGAUUUCCCUGUGGCCUUGCAAACAAAAAAGAAGGAAGACGGAGCAGCACAGUCAUCCCUUUGUGAAAAAAGCAUUCAGGUAACUGAGUGACUCAGCAAGCCUGGGUCUUGGGGAAAUUACGAAUACCUGGUUGAAGGGCAGUCCUCAGGCAGAGCCCCUGAGACCCGUUGAACUCUAGAGUGUGGGAGCAGAGGAGAUUCAUGGCCUGCCCAGGGGCAGUGUCCACAGGGGCAGAGUGCCCCCAGGACUCGCCCUGGCUCAGUUAAGGACUCCCCUCAGGAACUGCAGAGGUGCAAGGCAGGGUGCAGCUCUGCCUGGACUGAGCUGGAAAUGCAGCCGUGUGGCUGAAGUGGCCACUUCCUGCUUUCUGUAAAGCAGCCACAGGGAACUGUGAACAGAUGCACACCUGUCCUGAAGACACCCGGUUCUCAUGCUCUUCUCUGCAGCACCUGAAUUGGGCAUUCCUGGGUAAAGCUGUUUAAGUUACUUUCACUUUUAUCCACUUGUUUCCGUUAUUUCAACCAUGCAUGUCCCUUGUGUAUGUAGGAUAAAGGUGUCUAAGAAUAAAGGUCCAUGAUUUAAAGUUUUUUCCUCUUCUUUCCCUGUCCUGACCACCUGAUCAUAAACUUGUAGAAAUAAAGUGGAUCUCAUGUUGUGUAUCUUUCGAUGCAUCUAGAGAGAUGGUUAUAUUCAUAUAAAUAAACGGGCACAUCCAGCACACUAUUUCUAGUUGUCGUCUGCUAAUAAGUUUACAUCUGGUAAAUGCCAGUGUUUCAUCAAAUGGCUGCAUUGCACAUGAGUCAAUCUGUGUGACAAAGAAUAUGGCAGGUUUUGUACAGCCUUUGUAAAGACAUUCUUCAAUGCUGCCUUUUAAAAUAGAAAUGUUAAAUCCUGUAACUAAUCAACCUAUGCCUUGUUAGAGGGCUGACAUUUUCAAUAAUUCCUUUACAAAGGGUAGUGAGAUGCAUCAGAUCCCCCAGUGGCCCCCAAGUAGGGACAGUGACAGUCAGCAGUUCUUUACGGACACCUGCUCCGUGGCAGGUUCUCCGCCGGCCCUGGCUGCGGGCGGCCCUCAUCUAACAAGAUGCUUCGGUCCAUGGGUGGAGGACAAAGGCCUAUGGGCUUGGGGAGCGAGUUCUUUCGUCUCCUACAUGACCUUCAUCUGCUCGCGUUUGCCAUGAAGCGCAUCUGGGUUGGAAGGAGAUGGUGGUUUCCCACGGAAGUCUGGUCCCUAAGUGACGCCUCUGCUGCCUACAUCAGAAUCUCCCAGGCUUGCUCCACAGUGGUCCCGUCACGUGGUGCAGACUCAGGCGCUGUCUUGUGUGUGCAGAGGCAGGCUUGGUCUUGUGUGCUCUUGAUCAUGCACCUAGUCACAUCUGUUCUACAGUGUUGCAUUCUUCUAAUUUCCAUGCACAUCUUUGCAUAGGCGUGUUCCCAUUGUUCCCAUGCCAAUAAGUGGUGUGCAAGGUUCCAGAGUGCGCCAGUAUUUCUUUAGUCGGUGUCAUGCUGUUGGAUAUUCAGGUUUUUUAACCUAGUGUAAAUAACAUUCACAUUUCUAAAAACCAGAAGAGUGUUUGUGAUUAAGAUAUCAUCUUAGUGGAUAUUAAAUUGCUGCAUCUGAUUUCAUUUCUCUUUCCCAAAUAGUCAGUUGUGUGGGCUAGUCUCAUUCUGAAACUGCACACUCCCAUCCCAGAGGUAGAAAGCGAGAUCUCCUGCCUGCAUUUCAUGGAGCAUGUGAUUAUGGAGGUGUCCAGUCCCAGCAAACAGACCCCACAUUCUUUUCCUUCAGUGACUCAGACGCAAUAUGUGGAGAGUCCCAGACAGUAUCGCUCCCUCAUGUUCAUUAAC